rnacentral:lncRNA from 1 species
GGUCCCCCUCCAGCGAUGUGUUUCUCAGAUAGAUGUGUAGGAUGAAAUAAGACGCUGGUGCUAGGACCUAGAGGCAUCUUGUCCAAUCUGUUUCGUCGCUUGUGUUUGUCRCCGGUUCAGUCUCUGAGAGGUUCAGGGACAAUAUUUGCAGCCAGAACCAUCAGGCUUUGUCAUUAACAGCUCCCCACAAAAUCCACACCAGCCCGCGUGACCUGGAACUCGUUUCUGGCAGCGAUACCUCCCAACCCUUGAARAUGGCAAGGCAGAAAAGGAGAAAAGGGGAGCUCUGGAUGGUCUCACAGGCUUAGMUCUCUACUGACACGGAGAUCUCUGAAUCAACACUGUUGCUCUGCAUGGAUGUGCCUGAAAAAGCGAAAGGUGUGCUCAUGGAUACAAUCCUAGCUGCUUUCUCAUGAAUUCCUUGGGUAUUCUCUAAGUGGAGUGAUA